rnacentral:rRNA from 1 species
UACGGAGGGUGCAAACGUUGCUCGGAAUCAUUGGGCGUAAAGCGCACGUAGGCGGCCUGUUAAGUCGGAUGUGAAAGCCCCGGGCUCAACCCGGGAAGUGCAUUCGAAACUGGCGGGCUUGAAUAUGGAAGAGGGUCGCGGAAUUCCCGGUGUAGAGGUGAAAUUCGUAGAUAUCGGGAGGAACACCAGUGGCGAAGGCGGCGACCUGGGCCAUAUUGACGCUGAGGUGCGAAAGCGUGGGGAGCAAACAGGG